GAACGGUCACAGGGAGCUUGCUCCGCUGACGAGUGGCGAACGGGUGAGUAAUAUAUCGGAACGUACCCAAGAGUGGGGGAUAACGUAGCGAAAGUUACGCUAAUACCGCAUACGAUCCAAGGAUGAAAGCAGGGGACCGCAAGGCCUUGUGCUCCUGGAGCGGCCGAUAUCUGAUUAGCUAGUUGGUAGGGUAAAGGCCUACCAAGGCAUCGAUCAGUAGCUGGUCUGAGAGGACGACCAGCCACACUGGAACUGAGACACGGUCCAGACUCCUACGGGAGGCAGCAGUGGGGAAUUUUGGACAAUGGGCGCAAGCCUGAUCCAGCAAUGCCGCGUGAGUGAAGAAGGCCUUCGGGUUGUAAAGCUCUUUUGUCAGGGAAGAAACGGGUGCGGCUAAUAUC
rnacentral:rRNA from 1 species